rnacentral:rRNA from 1 species
CCUACGGGAGGCAGCAGUAGGGAAUCUUUCACAAUGGACGAAAGUCUGAUGAAGCAACGCCGCGUGAAUGAAGAAGGGUUUCGGCUCGUAAAAUUCUGUUAUUAAAGAAGAACGAACGUGAGAGGAAAUGUUCACGUUGUGACGGUAUUUAACCAGAAAGUCACGGCUAACUACGUGCCAGCAGCCGCGGUAAUACGUAGGUGGCAAGCGUUAUCCGGAUUUAUUGGGCGUAAAGAGAGUGCAGGCGGUUUCUUAAGUCUGGUGUGAAAGCCUUCGGCUUAACCGGAGAAGUGCAUUGGAAACUAGGAAACUUGAGUACAGCAGAGGAUAGUAGAACUCCAUGUGUAGCGGU